rnacentral:rRNA from 1 species
UAAUAGCGUAUAUUAAAGUUGUUGCAGUUAAAAAGCUCGUAGUCGGAUGUCGGGCUCGGGCAGGCUGUCGGCUUCGGUCGGACGGCAGGCUCGGGUCUUUCUGCCUGAGGAUCCAUCUCAUUCACUUGGGGUGGGGACGCAGGCCGUUUACUUUGAAAAAAUUAGAGUGUUCAAAGCAGGCCUACGCUUGAAUACAUUAGCAUGGAAUAAUGGAAUAGGACUUUGGUGCUAUUUUGUUGGUUUAUGGGACCGAAGUAAUGAUUAACAGGGACAGUUGGGGCCGUUUAUAUUUCGUUGUCAGAGGUGAAAUUCUUGGAUUUACGGAAGAUAAACUACUGCGAAANCANNNGGCAAGGAUGUUUUCGUNAA